CAUCUUUUUUUCAGUUGCUUUUCUUUUUCUACUUUUUGAUCAUUUUUUUUUUGGUAUAUUCUUUCCUUGUUUCAAAAGAUUUGUUUUUGCACACCAUACUGUUUGAAGGUAGAGUAAUAAACAAGGUCAUAUUUGAGAAACCUAAGGCUAAAUUUCUGAAUUAACUAAGUCAAAACAGAACUAGAAAAUUUGGUUAAAGUUAAAUUCAAUAUCAUAAGUGUUAAAUGCUGACCCAUUUUCUCUAUCUUUAGGGCACAUAUACACACAAAAUCUAAGAGGAAUUUUUGCCCGCUCGUGUCGAAAUAGUGAUCACAUUGUUCUAUCUCCUCAUAAAUGAGAAUAUUGAUUAAGUUCUUUUCAAGUAGUUUACUAUGUGUCAUUGGAAUUCGAAUUAUAGAUCUAAUACUAGCACUAUAUGUAGAGCAAGGGUCGAUGCCAACUAGUUUAGUUAGUAAAGUUUUGGAGAGUUAGGAGUGGUAGAAAGGUCGUUGGAAUUGUUUAGAAACGAAGGAAUAUUUCUCGAGCAAGAACAAGUGGUGUGGCUACUAACAUUUGAAACUCCUAGACCUUGCCAUGGCAGGACUUUAUUGAGCUGUCACUUUGUUUUUUUUUUUCUUAGUUUCUUUUUUGAAGGUAAGAGGAAGAUGGAUCCCUUGUUAAGGCUAGUGAGAAUUGAUCCCUAAUCUUCAUGCCAAUUAGAAUUGAUCCCUUUUUGUUAAACAUUUUAAGUAAAUACCUAAUUGUAUCACUUGCUAUUUUGGACAAAAGAAUGGUGAAUUGGUGAUACACAACACAAAUACUGAGUUUGACAUAGAUGUUUUGCUAGUGGAAUUAUAUUUAUAAGUGUUUAAAGAGUACACUUGACUACUUGCUAUGAAUUAGGUACAUGAUUAUUAAGCGGUUAUCUACAUCACAUUGAGGGGAUAGCCCUUGUUAGGCCUUUGUGGCAGUGUGGCUUUCUGGGACUCAUGAAUACUCUUUGGAGCAUGAAUACUUUAGACCAGUGCUCUCAAUACCUUAUCAAGGCAAAACUAUGAUAUGUGUGAACAAUAAUAUGCAAUUAAAUGUAAUAUGCUUGCAUAAGAUAAGGAGCCCUGUUUCCAAUUAAUUUUUGCAGCAAUCUUCUUAUACAAAGGGCUUAGUUACUUUGUGGAUAAUGGGACUUUGAGAUACUUGAAAGGGAAUGCACUCUUGCGAGUAUCCUAAAUAUCCAAAAUUUGAUGUGUCGUUAAACGUUUCUCAUGGCCAAGAUUUACACUAUUCCUUGCUAAAUUAGCCUAAAGCAGGAUAAACAAAUCCAAGCUUAAACUUACUAGAUAUAGGUAAUUUUGUUUGUUUGCAAAAUAGAGCAAAAGUAGCAAGCUUUGCUCCUUAGAAUGGACUUUAAAGUCACGACUUUUCCUUAUCCUGUUUCUUCAUCUAUUUAGCUCUCCCAUAAUAUUAUAAAACUAAUACUUUUUACACGUAUAUUGGUUAAGUCCUCUAAAUGAAGCAAAAGGUAAGACUGAAUCCGCGUUUGAUCUUGACCCUUUAUUUAGAUGAUCCAAUUGUCGCAUUUGUAAUUCGUAACAUAAAAAGGUUCUUACCAUAAGGGUGGUUCACUCUAUAUAAAUACUUUUUUGAUCUAGCCUAAUAUUCUCUCUCUAUAUAUAUGGAAUAAAGUACACGUGAGAAUGAUUCUUACAUGAGAACACUAGAAUAGUAAUCCACUAAAAAUGUAAUCCUUUUUCCUGAAAAUGUGAUCUUUUUGGAUGAUUGAUCAUGCAAGGGAACAAAUGGUUAUUAGCUACGAUGGAUUACAAUUCUGGCAAAAGGAUUAUCAUGUAAUAUUAAUAAAGAUUACAAUUUUGAUUAAAUGUAUUACUUCUCCACUGUUCUCAUAUUAUCUCAUAUAACAAUUACUCUCACCUUAUUUUGUGGAAUGUAAUCCUAGAGGAAGAUUGGCCCCGCAAAGGAAAUAAUGAUUACAUUUUAGCAAAAAUGGAUUGCUUGCUGACUAAAAUGGAUCACUAGUGUUCUCGCAUCCUGAUUUUUAGGAUGAGCUCAUUCCUUUCCUCUUUGUUAUCCUAAUUCCCUAGUAGAUGUUACAUAUGGGGUACAACCUUUCAUGUGCCUUUGAGGUGACCACUUGAUCUUCUUUCCGAUGCAGUUAUCUUCAUAAUUAUUUUUCCUGCUGUGUUUACUAGGUUGAAAAAGUGGAGUUACGUGAGGGUUGGAUGUUUUAUAUUAACUACUCGCGUUGGAAGAAUAGGCAAGUAUAGAAAUGCUUAUGCACCUUCAACUUUGAUACUUCUGAUUCUCCGUCCUUGCAGAAAUUUGGGAUGAAUGGGUGGGAGUUGAUCGCUUGAAGAAAUUUACGAAGGAGAAUCUCCAGCAAUUCACUGGGACUGCUGGGCCUGGGAGUCUAUCACCAAUGGAAUCAGGUUUGGUAAUUUGAAAAACAUAUACGUUUUAUGGGUUGAGGUUUAGCUAAAAGCUAUGGCAAAAGCGGUCAAGCAACCCACCACAAUAUGAAUGUACCAUUAUACCCUUACUUUUAUGUUUUCAUUUUUACUUCAACUUUUAACUCCUCCCAUCUUCUCUCUCAUCUUCACCAUUCAUUCACUUAUCCUUCACACACAAGAAGAACCACCAUCAUCUAAACCCAAAAAAAAUGUCAGGCAACCCGUCGGAAAAUCCAAGGUCAUGGAAGAAGCUUCUCCUCCGGCGUGCAACGGUGGAGGCACUUUUAAGGGCUGCGGAGGCAAGACGCCAAUCUGAAGCUGUGGAGGAGGCGGCGGCAGCAGCGGAGAUGGCGGCAGCAGAGGAAGCGGAUGCGUCGUCUCAGCCAUCUGGGUUUCGACAAUUUGUCGGGAACACUUCCCGUAUUUCGCGGUGUGCACUACGAGGAUUCAGGUCCACGUCAUCCCCACUCACCUAGUGUUUCCGCUUCAGUUAGGAGGACGGGGAUGAACCCGACUGGUUUGCGACGUCAGCUUCAGUUACACGAUGAGGGGGUUGGUGGGUCGUACGAUGCAAGGCUGCAUCAGGAGAUGGAUGAGGGGGAGGAUGACCCGGGUACACGUGGGCUGGGUUCUGAUGUUCAUUACGAUGAUGAUGCUGAGGAUGCCUUUAUGCGGGAAUUUGAGAGAGAUCCAGACCUUACAGUCAAUGAUCGUUGGAAUGUCCGUAAGGGUAGGGGUGGGUGGUUUAUACGCGGCAAAGGGAGUUCAUCGAGUGUUGAGAGUCGAAAGGGAAAGGGGAAGGAUGUCGAUGACCUUAGCUGGAAGGUCAGAGGUCCAGUUGCAGGAGGACCUAUGGUUGAGUCUGUUAUCCCUAGUUUUGGUGGACAUGUAGCAAUGGAGAUCUGGGAGGGAGGGGAUAGAACUCUCAUGAAGUGUCAGACCCGAGAGAGGAUUUGUGCACGUUUGAGGACAUGGGUUAGGGCGUUGCCUCCACCGAUACAGGACCGUCUUCGUAGAACGUCUCUAUACCAUAUCCCCUUUACUAUGUUCACGCACAUUGAUGUGCCCUUGAUUUCAGUAUUUGUCGAGCGGUGGCAGCCUGAUACGAAUUCUUUUCACCUACCGUUUGGAGAGAUGACGAUCAUGAUGCAUGAUGUGUGGCAUAUAUUGCAUAUUCCAGUUGAGGGGUGCACGGUCCAUGACACCACUUCGAGUGAUGAUCUUAGGGGUUUGGUUGCAGACUCGAUUGGUAGGACGGUUGCAGAGCUCCGGAGUCCAUUUUGGGAAAAUGGUGCUAUUGCUGCACAAGGGGUUGCUGAUAUUCUAUCGGAUGGGGAGACACUUGCUUCAUUAGAGAAACAACUGACAUGUAUUAUAUGGUUAAUUCUAGGGUGUUGUUUGUUCACAGAUAAGAGUGGAUCGAGGUUGAGACCCUUUGACAUUGUUGAGGCCAGGUCUCCAUAUAUCGUUCACACGUAUUCCUGGGGUCGGCUACACUUGCGUACUUGUAUCGUCAGUUGGGUGAGGCUAGUCGGACCUCCACAGUCGGGAUCAACGGAUGUUUGACUUUACUCCAGGCAUGGAUUUAUGAGUAUUUUCCAUGCUUCAGGCCGCGCGCACAACAUAUUAGUGGUGGAGAAACUCCACGAGCACAGAGUUGGACUGUAUACCCAGAGAAGAGGUCUCAUGACCGUCUUUGUUCUAUCAGGAGACAGCUAGACACAUUGACAGCAGAGGAUGUGGAUUGGUUGUCUUAUGGUCAUGAUUUUGAUCCGAACACCAUCCGAAGAACAUUAUACAGGGGCACCAUUCGAUACAGGGGAGUUAUCGAGCCCUAUAUGCCUGAUCGAUGUUUGCGGCAGUUAGGUCGUAUGCAGACUG